GCUGACUGCUGUUCCUGCCUUCGUGUCACUUUGCAGGGGGACCAGACCGCCUUGCACCGGGCCACAGUGGUGGGGAACACGGAGAUCAUCGCGGCGCUCAUCCACGAGGGGUGUGCCCUGGACAGACAAGACAAGGAUGGGAAUACAGCCUUGCAUGAAGCAUCCUGGCAUGGUUUCAGCCAGUCAGCCAAGCUGCUCGUUAAAGCAGGAGCCAACGUGCUUGCCAAGAACAAGGCGGGGAACACAGCUCUGCACCUGGCCUGCCAGAACAGCCACUCCCAGAGCACGCGUGUCCUCCUGCUGGCCGGGUCCCGCGCUGACCUCAAAAAUAAUGCAGGAGACACCUGUUUGCACGUUGCUGCGCGCUAUAAUCACUUGUCCAUCAUUAGGCUCCUCCUCAGUGCUUUCUGUUCUGUCCAUGAAAAGAACCAGGCUGGAGACACAGCACUUCACGUUGCUGCUGCCCUAAAUCACAAGAAGGUGGCCAAAAUCUUACUGGAAGCUGGAGCAGAUACAACCAUUGUUAACAAUGCAGGCCAGACUCCGCUGGAGACUGCCCGCUACCACAAUAACCCGGAAGUUGCUCUUCUCCUUACUAAAGCUCCCCAGGUCUUGCGCUUCAGUCGUGGGCGAAGCCUGAGGAAAAAGAGAGAGAGGCUCAAGGAAGAGAGGAGAGCCCAGUCUGUGCCAAGAGAUGAGGUGGCCCAAAGCAAGGGCAGUGUCUCAGCAGGAGACACCCCCAGCAGUGAACAGGCUGUGGCCAGAAAAGAAGAAGCCAGAGAAGAGUUCCUGUCAGCCUCCCCAGAACCCAGAGCAAAGGAUGAGAGGAGGAGAAAGUCAAGGCCCAAGGUGUCAGCAUUUUCUGACCCCACCCCACCAGCCGACCAACAGCCUGGACACCAGAAGAACCUGCAUGCUCAUAAUCACCCUAAAAAGAGGAACAGGCAUCGGUGUUCAUCCCCACCCCCACCCCAUGAGUUCAGGGCAUAUCAGCUCUACACAUUGUACCGGGGCAAGGAUGGGAAAGUGAUGCAGGCACCAAUAAAUGGUUGUCGAUGUGAACCUCUAAUCAACAAGCUGGAGAAUCAGUUGGAGGCUACUGUGGAGGAGAUAAAAGCAGAGCUGGGAUCGGUUCAGGACAAAAUGAAUACAAAGCUGGGGCAGAUGGAGAAUAAGACCCAGCACCAAAUGCGUGUUUUGGACAAGCUGAUGGUUGAGAGACUUUCUGCAGAGAGGACGGAGUGCCUGAACCGCCUGCAACAGCACUCAGACACGGAGAAGCAUGAGGGGGAGAAACGACAGAUAUCCUUGGUGGAUGAAUUAAAAACCUGGUGCAUGUUAAAGAUUCAGAAUCUGGAGCAGAAGCUUUCUGGAGAUUCUAGAGCCUGCAGAGCUAAAUCCACACCGUCUACUUGCGAGUCCUCUACAGGUGUGGAUCAAUCAGUGGUGACUGCAGGUCCAGCAGCAGCUUCUGACAGCUCCCCUCCAGUGGUUAGGCCCAAAGAAAAGGCCCUCCACUCCACUGCUACCCAGAGACUCCAGCAGGAGCUGUCAUCUUCUGACUGUACAGGCUCCCGACUGAGGAACGUCAAGGUCCAGACAGCCUUGCUACCCAUGAAUGAGGCAGCCAGAUCUGAUCAGCAGGCUGGGCCCUGCGUCAACAGAGGCACUCAAACUAAGAAGUCUGGGAAGAGUGGGCCAACAAGGCAUCGUGCCCAGCAACCCGCAGCCAACAGCACCUGUGGGCAGCCGCCACCAGCAGCAGGCAGCGAGCAGACUGGCCCUCACAUUCGGGACACUUCCCAAGCUCUGGAGCUUACCCAGUAUUUUUUUGAGGCUGUUUCUACCCAGAUGGAAAAGUGGUAUGAAAGGAAGAUUGAAGAAGCACGAAGCCAAGCCAAUCAGAAAGCCCAGCAAGACAAGGCUACAUUGAAGGAACACAUUAAAAGUUUAGAAGAGGAACUUGCCAAACUAAGGACUAGGGUGCAGAAGGAAAAUUAGCACCAAUAAAGAGGAAACACGAAAGGAUUCUUGAAGAUUUCCAGUUUUGCAACUGCAUAAUAGCUAUGCCCAAGGAGUCAACUAUAUUGUAUAUAUUGCAGAUUUGCCUUUUUAAAAAAAUCACUAAUUCUACAGUGUGCCAGAUACAUGUUUCCUAUGCCUGGAAGUUAUGAAGACUUCAACAAUUAAACUGAAACCAGGGGAAGCUUGCUUAGUUUUGGGUUUCAUUAUAAACUCUUAGCCUCAGUCCAGGUUAAUCUGAAGUUUGAAAGCUCAGAUUAAGCAAGCCAUGCCAAGAAACUGGAUGAUGUGUAAGCCUAGACUCUAAAAUUCAAGAUGUGUGAAAUAAUAUAAGUCAAAAGCAAGAAAAACGUAAUCCCUUCUGAACUCAAGUAGUCAUUCAUAUAAAUUUGAACACACCUGCUGUGCCUAAACAAGUGUCUUUCUGUAAGAGAGCUGUAACUCUGAGAUGUGCU
rnacentral:sRNA from 1 species